GUGCCACCCGCCGCGGUAAUACGAAGGGUGCAAGCGUUACUCGGAAUUACUGGGCGUAAAGCGUGCGUAGGUGGUCGUUUAAGUCCGUUGUGAAAGCCCUGGGCUCAACCUGGGAACUGCAGUGGAUACUGGGCGACUAGAGUGUGGUAGGGGGUAGCGGAAUUCCUGGUGUAGCAGUGAAAUGUGUAGAGAUCAGGAGGAACAUCCAUGGCGAAGGCAGCUACCUGGACCAACACUGACACUGAGGCACGAAAGCGUGGGGAGCAAACAGGAUUAGAUACCCUGGUAGUCCACGCCCUUAACGAUGCGAACUGGAUGUUGGGUGCAAUUUAGCACGCAGUAUCGAAGCUAACGCGUUAAGUUCGCCGCCUGGGGAGUACGGUCGCAAGACUGAAACUCAAAGGAAUUGACGGGGGCCCGCACAAGCGGUGGAGUAUGUGGUUUAAUUCGAUGCAACGCGAAGAACCUUACCUGGUCUUGACAUGUCGAGAACU
rnacentral:rRNA from 1 species